rnacentral:lncRNA from 1 species
CGCAAAAAAUUGGGGACUUUUUUUUGAAAAUUGCUGUCGAAAUAAUCUAUUUUUUACACAUUUCAUACUUCGUGUCCAGUCUUCGCAACCUUGGGCGCGUCCCAAACAAACAACAUGGCGGCCAUCGUAGACGAAGUGUCAACUAAUCCGUCUGUAUUUGGCGUCCAAAUUCAAGUGGUAAGUGCAUGCACAUACGCCAGUAUGUAACUACAUAUAUUAUAGAGUGUCGCUUUGCUUUCUUUAUCGUAUUUGUAUCUUGUUUAAUGCAGUAAAAAUGUCUAAAAAUGACUUUUUAAAGGGCGGUCAGAGCAAUCAACAACUUCGUAUAUUACGUGUGGUCGUAUUACAAGCGACGAAUUUGGCAAAGAAGGACGUUUUUGGAUUGAG